rnacentral:rRNA from 2 species
ACAACUUUCAACAAUGGAUCUCUUGGUUCUCGCAUCGAUGAAGAACACAGCGAAAUGUGAUAAGUAAUGUGAAUUGCAGAAUUCAGUGAAUCAUCGAAUCUUUGAACGCAUCUUGCGCUCCUUGGUAUUCUGAGGAGCAUGCCUGUUUGAGUGUCAUUAAA